AAUGAACGCUGGCGGCAUGCCUAAUACAUGCAAGUCGAGCGGACGGACGGGAAGCUCUCUUCCCUGCUGUUAGCGACGGGCGGGUGAGUAAUACGUAGAUCACCUACUUAUAAGACUGGGGUGACUACGGGGGACCGGAUACGCUAUCGGUUCAUAUUUUGAACGGGUGGGAUCAUGGGAGCUUCCGGCAUUUGCUGACACUUUUAGAUGAUUCCGCGUUGCAUUAGCUAGUUGGUAGGGUACCGGCCUACCAAGGCUACGAUGCGUAGCUGACCGGAGAGGGUGAUCGGCCACACUGGAACUGAGACACGGUCCAGACUCCUACGGGAGGCAGCAGUAGGGAAUAUUGCACAAUGGGCGAAAGCCUGAUGGAGCAAUGCCGCGUGAGUGAAGAAGGUCUUCGGAUUGUAAAGCUCUGUUAUUGGGGAAGAACAGAAGUGGAAUAAACCCUGCAUGUCUUGACGGUACCUAAAGAAAAAGCAACGGCUAACUUCGUG
rnacentral:rRNA from 1 species